AACGCACGAGACCUGCGGACCUGCGGAAGGAUCAUUAAUGAGAAGCUGCCCCUCGUGGGUAGACCUCCCACCCUCUGUGAACUUACCUUUGUUGCUUUGGCAGGCCCGUCCUCUGGACCGCCGGCUUCGGCUGGCCCGUGCCUGCCAGAGGAUUCCAAACCCUGUCUGUCAGUGUUGUCUGAGUCUAUAUGAAAUCGUUAAAACUUUCAGCAACGGAUCUCUAGAUCGGAAGAGCUCACG
rnacentral:misc_RNA from 1 species